UACCAGAGUCCCCCGGAGACGCUCUGAGGCGCGCUGCGAAGCCUGAAGGGAGUCCUCCUCCGGCUUCGGGUCAGGCUUCCCCGACCGGCGAACCCGAGAGGCGCCAUGGGCUGGAUCACAGAAGAUCUUAUUAGACGGAAUGCUGAACACAAUGACUGUAUAAUUUUUUCCCUGGAGGAACUCUCCUUGCAUCAGCAAGAAAUAGAAAGACUAGAACAUAUUGACAAAUGGUGCCGGGAUCUAAAAAUUCUUUAUCUUCAGAAUAAUCUGAUUGGGAAAAUUGAAAAUGUUAGCAAGCUCAAGAAACUUGAAUAUUUGAAUUUGGCUUUAAACAAUAUUGAAAAAAUUGAAAAUUUGGAAGGAUGUGAAGUGCUAACAAAACUUGACUUGACCAUGAAUUUCAUUGGUGAGCUGAGCAGCAUUAAAACCCUGAAACACAACAUCCACCUGCAGGAGCUCUUUCUCAUGGGGAACCCGUGCGCUUACUUUGACGGCUACCGGGAGUUUGUGGUGGCGACUCUGCACCAGUUAAAGUGGCUGGAUGGUAAAGAAAUAGAACGUUCAGAAAGGAUUCAGGCAUUGCAGAACUAUCCAGUAACUGAACAACAAAUCAGAGAACAAGAACAAGCUUACUGCCUCAAACGAGCCAAAGAGAGAGAAGAGGCUCAGAAGAAACUUCAAGAGGAGCAUGGAAAUGUAGACAAGAGAAGUAAUCCAGGCUUUGAUGGACGAUGGUACACCGACAUCAAUACCCCACUAUCAUCUUUAGAGAACAAAGACCACUUCCAAACACCAGCUAUACAAGUAGAGGAGCAUAACAACAAGAAAUUACAUGAUGAUGAAGAGGAUCUGGAAUUCUGGAAUAAGCCCUGUUUGUUUACUCCUGAGUCUAGAUUGGAAACUCUUAGACAUGUGGAGAAACAACGGAAAGACCGAGAAAAAUUAAGUGGAAAAAAGAAGAACAUGAAGCCGCCCAGGACUCUGAUCACUGAUGAUGGGAAGGUCUUGAACGUAAAUGAGCCAAAACUUGAUUUCUCUUUGAAAGAUGACGAAAAACAUCACCUGAUCAUCCUGGACCUCACUGUCUAUAGAUACAUGGAUACCUCAUUAAUUGACGUUGAUGUGCAGCCAACUUACGUGCGAGUGAUGGUCAAAGGGAAGCCAUUUCAGCUUGUCCUUCCUGCAGAAGUCAGACCUGACAGCAGCUCUGCCAAGAGAUCCCAGACCACCGGGCACCUGGUGGUCUGCAUGCCCAAGAGUUAUUUGCGUGGACUCUCAAGCUCUUCCUUAAAAAUCGUCAAAAAUUCACUGGAGUAGGGCAGUUCAGUUCACUGUGCUGUUCUGGAAGCCCAGACUUAAUUCACUGUGGAACCGUGUGACUCUGGCCUGCAUUAGAACCACAGAGGGAUCUGGAAGCGGGUUGUGAGAGUCACCCUAAGCGUUCAUUGACAGCUGAGCUGAUAAAGAAACAGUGGUGCACAUGUUGCUGUGGGAUCACUGUCUCCUCCUGAGGUGAGCAUUUGGUGAAGAAGUUAAGCAGCUGUGUGGAAUGCCUGUGUCUCAUAUUGGAGCACCUGAUUUGAGUCCCAGCUACGUGGCUUGCAAUCCAGCUUCCUGAUUAUGUGCACCCUGGGAGUCAGCAGAUGAUGGCUCAAUGUGCACCACCUAUGUGGGGAACCUGGAUAUAGUUCCUGGCUCCUGGCUUUAGCCUGGUCCAGCCCAGGCUGUUAUGGGCGUUUGGGGAGUAAACCAGUGGAUGGACGAUGCCUUUCCACAUCUCUCUCUCUGUCUCUUUCUCUCUGCAGCUUUCAAAUAAAAUUUAAAUUAAUUGAUUAAUCAGAAUUUUUCUCAUUUAUAAACUUGUUCUGCAUCAAAACUGGGUAUAACGGAAUUUGUCCUUUCUUUUGUGAUUCCUCCUGCCAGAUUAACUGGAAUAUACCUGCGCAGUUACCUGGCUACGUUAUCAAAACAGGGGCAAGAAAGCCCAGUAUGUGCAGGAAGUUGCUUUCUUCAAUGCUGUAGAUCUCUUUUCAAACCAUGGGCCUCCUCUCUGUACCUUGUCUGGCUUCUCUUUAGACCAGCCGGGCUGUCUUUUCUUCUGGGUGUCCUCAAAGUCAAAUGAACAAAUGUCACUUUUAAAAGAAUAUUUACUGGCUGGCACCACAGCUCAAUAGGCUAAUCCUCCACCUGUGGCGCCGGCACCCCGGGUUCUAGUCCCUGGUUGGGGCGCCGGAUUCUGUCCCGGUUGCCCCUCUUCCAGGCCAGCUCUCUGCUAUGGCCCGGGAGUGCAGUGGAGGAUGGCCCAAGUCCUUGGGUCCUGUACCCACAUGGGAGACCAGGAGAAGUACCUGGCUCCUGGCUUCGGAUCAGUGUGAUGCACCAGCCACAGUGCGCUGGCCGCGGCGGCCAUUGGAGGGUGAACCAACGGCAAAAGGAAGACCUUUCUCUCUGUCUCUCUCUCUCUCACUGUCCACUCUGCCUGUCCAAAAAAAAAAAAGAUAUUUACUGCUUUCAAAUAAGUAAAUGCUUGUCAGAAAAAUAUCGCAGGUGGGCACUGUGGUGCCGCGGGUUAUUGGGAUGUCCACAUUGCGUGUCAGAGUGCUGGUUCAAGUCCUAGCUCCUCUGUUUCCCAUCCAGCUUCCUGCUCAUGUGCAGAUAAUGGCCCAAGUAGUUGCAUUUCUGCCACCCACGUGGGAAACUUGGAUGCUGUUCCUGACACCAGGCUUCAGCCUGACCUAGUCCUGGCUGCUGUGGGCAUUUGGGGAGUGAACCAGCAGAUGUGAGACCUCUCUCUUACUUUCACUCUAUCUCUCUGUCUUUCAAAUUAAUGAAUAAAUCAUACGCAUACAAAGAAUGAAAAUGUCAGAGAUGCCAGAUGAAGGCCAGGCCCCAGGUUUGUGAGAUCCAGUCAGGACCUCCUGGACAGCCAGCCCUGAUCCAAGAAAGGAAGGCACUGGGAGCUCCCAGGCCCUGCACUGCCAGCUGAGGUUCCCAGGGCUGAAGGCAGAGGGCUCCCUGGCUGCAGGCAGGGCAGGAGAGGCCCACAGUAAUGGCAGGGUCCUGUGGGCUCCAGAUCCAGCAGGUGCAUCUUCAACUUAAUUCCCUUCUUCACCCCUUUGACCCUGUAUAGGGCUUAUGUAAGGAGAUCAAAGAGGUGAGAACCCAGACUGGCUCUCUGCCGGUAAAGCAGUACCCUAGACUGACUGGGAACACAAAUGCUGUUCUUGUGUGACUGAUUCAUAGUUUCUGCAGAAUUGCAAAGUCCCCAUCUAAAGUGGGCUGUCUCCCCUUUGCCUAUUGGCCAGUCAGGGUGGAAGGCAAGGACAUUCUUCCAUCUGCUGGCAAAUGAGUAGGAAAAGCGGGGACCAGACACCGUUCUAGGUUGCCGAGAGCUGCUGUUGGCAGCAGUGAUUACUCGAAUAUUUGUCCCCUGUCUGCUAUCUCUGCCCACUCCCUUGGAGGCUGGGACCCAGGCCAGUAUCCCCGUCUACCUGGACCCUGACGUGGGGCACCAGCAGGAGAGGCAGCCUUGCUUUUUGGAAAUUCUAGGGCCCUGAUUCCUAGGGUUUUCUCCUAAGCCGGAGGCUAGAGUAGCACGGACAAGUCCGACUGGAUAUUUGUCUGCUCGUGCAAGAUCUAAGGUGAACACCACCUCCGUCAGCAGCAGAAGCCACAGGUCACUGGGCCUCACCCUGCAGAGGGGCCAGGGGGCUUCACCUCAGUGUAAAACCUUCUUCAGUGCUCUCGUACCUUUUCCCAUGGCAGUGCUGAUGGGGCAGUCCAGGCUCCGGCUUUGUUUAUUAUUUACUUCAUUUGCAUGUGGCUUUUCUUGCCCUUGGUCCAGUUCCCAGGGCCCAGUUGCCAGGGCAACAAAGAGCGGCAUUGGAGAAAUAUCUGGAGCUCUGGCUUUGAGCUUGCACUCAGUUGAUGAGCUCAACACAGAUGCCAUGUUGCGUCUGCUCCUCCCCUGCUGCCCGCAUCCUCCUCCUCUCCCCUUCCCUCCCGCAAAGGGUCCCACAGCUUCUCCAUGUUGUGCUGACAGGCUCUGUGCCUCCCCAGCUUGCUCAUCUGGUCCUCUGAUUCUAGCCUUGACCUCUUCCUCUCUGCCUGAGAUCCCCUUCUCAUUAACACUCCCACUCCUCCGUGGUGUUAGAUCUUCCUGUGUCACUGGGAUACAUCAGAUGUGCUGUGGGUUGACUGUGGCCACCGAAAUCCAGGUGUUGAAACCUUUUUGUACAAUUUUAUUUAUUCUUUUAUUGGGGGUGGAGAGUGAGAGAGAGAGCUCACAUCCACUGGUUCACUUCCAGAAUGCCCACAGUUGACCCUGCCAAGGCCUAGAGCCAGAAACUCCAUCCAGGUUUCCUAGAAUGGGUGGCAGGAAUCCAAUUACUUGAGCCAUCACCACUGCCUACCGGGAUCUAUGUUAGCAAAAUGAUAGAGUCAGGAGCUGGAGCCAAACGCCCAUUCAUGGGACCCUAAUUCCUUAAUGGCAGGGUUGGAAUGUAGGCUCCCCUCUCUCCUUCCAACUUUUGGCAUCAGGCCCUGGCCCAGUGCAGCUGCCUGACCUUGCACUUCCAGCCUGUAGAACUGUAAGCCAGAAUAAACCUCUUCCCUUUAUGGAUUCCCCAGCAUCAGGGAUUCUGUUAGAGUGACAGAAAACAGAGAGCAGACCAGGUGCUUAUCAUGGGAGUCCUUUCCAACCUGCGCCCAGCCCCCACGGGGUCUUCCUCCUGGUCCCUCGUCUUGGGUGAGGCCGCUAUGCCCCAGCUCCCUCCCAGGCGUCGUCUUCCUCCGAGGAAGGCAUCCCUUUCUCCUGGCCUUGUUUAUUCCCACAAGGUCCUUACAGAAGUGGAGCCUGCACAUUAGUGAGGGUUUUCAGCCUCAUCCCAUGUCAGGAGAAGACAAGACUAACUCCUGCCACAAGGAAAAAAUAUUUUCAUAGCCACUGGACCUUUUACUCUGGAAUGAUGAAAACUAUUUUUAGGAGGAGACAAACGAGAUUUCGCCUCCCUUGUCCUCCCCACGUCUCUCAUGAGAUCACCUCCAAAAGAAAUUCCCAAACCUUCCUAUGUCGCUGAAGAGGAGGGGCAGAGUCGUGAGAUGUGACGCAUGACCCAGCACGGUAGGGCUUGUUUAUCUUCCCAGGUGGUUUGAAGGAGAAGGGAUGCCUCCCAUGAGAAGGAGCCACAGAAUGGAAGCUCGUGGGAACAGGGAUGCCAGCCCCCUCCCCGCCCCGAGAGUUCCCUAAAGAUAAUCAGUACAGGGCAAGCAGCUGCUCUUGAGGGGAAGAGAAGAGCAAGGGAGAGGUGGCAAGACCAGGAGGAUGAGGACAGUAAACGCGGGAGCAGAGCCCGACUGGGCCUCACUGCUCAGAGGAGUUAGAACAUCUCUGCCCUCAGGUAGGGCUGGCAUGAGGGGAAGAAGGACAAACGUGGUUGCUUCCCAUUGUCUUAGCAAUCGUGUGAGGUGUGGAAAGCCCACGCUGGCAGAAUGCACACAGCAGAUGACAACCUUGGCUUGCCUCUCUUGCCCCCGACUUGGAACCCACCUGCACACCCUCCUGGUUCUGUCUCAAAAUACACGCAGAGCUGACCGCUGCUUGCUACCUGCUCCUUAACCACCCACAUCCAGCCACUGCCCUCCCUGUCCUGGGUGACUAAGGCAGCGGCCCUGUGAGUCUCCCUGCUUGUGCUCCGGCCUGCUGUGGUGGGUCCCCGUGCUGCAGCCUAGCGGGCUUGAGGCCCACGUAGACCAUGUCUAUAUCCUUCUCUGCCUGGGGAUCACCGACAGCUUCCCACGGCACCCAGGACGCAAACCAGCAUUUUCCCCAGCGUGUCCAAGGCCUCUCACAGGCAUCUCCGCCAGCUUGUCAUCCUCUCCCUUGCUGUCUCCAUGUCGCCUUCCUGUCUCCUUUGCUGCUACUGUGCAGGCCAUACUUGCCCCUUGGUGCCUUUGCACUUGCUGCUAAUUCUAAAAAAAAAAAAAAAAAACCUCCACCCCCAGCUCCCUGAAUGACUUGUUCUAGCUCUGUUAGGUCUGUCCUCAAAUCUCACUUGCUUAAUAAGGUGUUCCCUGACACCCUGAUUAAUAUGCAGCCUCCACCUUCCAGCCCACCAGGGCCUCUUUGCUGUCUCAUCCUUCUUCAUAGCAUGAAAAUGCCGUGUGUGUGUGUGUGUGUCUGUGUGUGUGUGAGACAUUCAUGUAUUUGCUGUCUACACCCCCAACAACACCUACACACACAGACACAUACACAUACACACACGUACACUAGAACUUAACUUCAAGAAGACAAGUAUUUUUGUUCAUUACUGAAUCCCUAUGACCUAGAAAAUGGCCUGGCCCAUCGUGGAUGAACUGUAGAUGUUUGUUGAAUGAAUGAAUGAAUGAUAAGCAAGAAAAAGCAUGAACUUUUUCAUAUCAGUGGAGGGUGUUUCCCACUGAGACUAUCUCUAGUAAGAUUAUAAAAGUAUAUUAUUUUUCUAUCAUAAAAUAUCAUUUUCAGUUAUCAGCUGCAAUCCAUAUAUAGGAGUCUCUCAACUUUCAGUUUUUAAUAGGCUCAGUGGGUUACAUGUUUGUUUUAGGAAAGUUAAUCAGAACACAGUUAAGAAAUAAUCAAAUCGGGGCCAAUACUGUGGCGCAGCGAGUUAGCACCCUGGCCUGAAGCACUGGCAUCCCAUAUGGACACGGGUUCAAGCUCCGGCUUUUCCACUUCUGAUCCAGCUCACUGCUAUGGCCUGGGAAAGCAGUGGAAGAUGGCCCAAGUCCUUGGGCCCCUGCACCCACAUGGGAAGACCCUGAAGAAGCUCCUGGCUCCUGGCUUUGGAUCAGCACAGCUCUGGCUGUUGCGGCCAACUGGGGAGUGAACCAUCAGAUGGAAGACCUCUCUCUCUCUCUCUCUCUCUCUCUGCCUCUCCUCUCUCUGUGUAACUCUGACUUUCAAAUAAAUAAAUAAAUCUUAAAAAAAGAAAUAAUGAAAUCUGGAAUUAAAAUAUCAACUAUAAAUAUAUAAACUUUGUACUUCCAGGUCUCCUGGAGGGACUUGGGCCAUCUUCUACUGCUUUCCCAGGCCAUAACAGAGAGCUGGAUCAGAAAUGGAGCAUCUGGGACUUGAACCAGCACCCAUAUGGGAAGCUGUCACAGCAGGUGGUAGCUUUACCCACUAUGCUACAGCAUAGGCCCCUGUUAGUUCACUCCUAAAUGCCUACAACAGCCGGGACUGGGCCAAGCCAAAGCCAGGAGCUUGGAAUUUAAUCUAGGUCUUGUGAGUUGGUGGCAGGGACCCAAGUACUUGAGUCAUCAUCUGCAUUGGCAGGAAGGUGCUCAUUAAAGCAGGAAGCUGAAACCAAAGUGGGUCUGCCAGGAUUCCAAACCAGGCAUUCUGAUAUGGGAUGAGAGCAUACCAAGAAGCAACAGCUACACCAUAUAUGCACCCCUCAAAUUGAUUUUUGAGUGUGAUGUGAAGAAGUUGUUAACAUUCAUUGUUUUCCAGUUGAAUAGGUGGUUGGAGCACCAAAGGAUCCUACUUUCCCCACUGAACUACUUUGACACCUUUGUCAAAAUGCAGUGGCUUUAUAAGGAUGAGUCUAUUUUAGAUUUCGUUUUGUUCCGUUGAUCUGUUUGUCCUUAUGCCAAUACCACACUCUGUUGGGUUAUCAUAGCUUUAUAAUAUAGCUUGAAGGUUGCAAUUCCUCCAUCAUUUUUACAUGCUCAUUGUAGAUAUUCUUUGUAUUUUCAUACAACUGUAAGAAUCAACUUACUGGUUUCCAUACACAAAUCUUAUUGGGAUGACAGCUAGGAUUAUGUUGAAUUUAUAGAUCAUCAUGGAGAUAACCAACAUUCUAAUAUUAUUGUUUCCCAAUAUAUGGGUUAUUGAGUUUCUCUCCAUUAGGUGGUUUAAAAUUUACCUCCUUCAAGAGGAUACAUAGAGCCAACUCAUCUCCAGUGCAGAGUCCAAAACCUAGCUCAUGUGAAACUGUCAUCAGCUGUUGUAUACAUAUCUGUGUAGUUUGCAGACAAACAAAAGCCCAAAGAACAGCCUAACUGACAGCUUCAAUGAGAGGGUUCUUAGAAUCAGCUUGAUGGCCAUUAUGCAUAGUUAGACCAUUUCCCAACAGGAUUGUAUGAGUAUUUUCAGAGUGGGAUUGGGUGGGGUAUAGAACGUUGACUAUAAUUAUCUAAACAGAAAGAAAAAUGUAUUUUGUAUCUAGUGAAGAAAGAAAUACUUCUUCCAAAAGCUAUCACUUCAUUGAAUUUAGGAAUUUUAUUAAUAUCAUGCACCUUGUCCAAGGAAACUAAGGGUGUGUGCUUGGGAUAGCACUUUUGAGCUGAGCUGAGUACCUAUAUCACCAAGGGUUAAAAGCACUGCCAAGAGCCCCAUUGCCUCUUGUGAAAAAUCCAAGGACCUUCAGCUAAACUCCCCAAGACUGGACAUUUCCCCACUUCUGCCUUAGUUCCAGCUACUGUCUGCCUAAUAUUCUGUGCUAGUAUAAGUGCUCAUUUAGUUUCCUUUCUUUGUUCAUGCCUUUUGUUCUCCCUAGACUUUUCCUCAUACCCAACAUGACCUCUGUCUUCAGGGAAAUUCCUGCAGUAACUUAAUUAUUUAAUUGUUAUUUGAGAGACAGAGAGACAGAGUUUCCCAUUCAUUGGUUCCUUCCCAAAAGCCCACAGCAGGCAAAAGGCUGGGUCAGGUCAAACCCAAGAGCUGAGAAUGCAGUCGGGGUCUCCCAAGCGGUUGGGUGGGAACCAAAUGACUUGAGCCAUCACCUGCUGCCUCCCAAGGUGCAAAACAGCAAGAAGCAGAAAUACGGAGCAGAGCUGGAGCUCAGAGCCAGGCACUCUGACAUGGGAUGUCCACGUUCCAAGUGGUGUCUUAACCAUUAGGCCAGGCACACAUCUCCUACUGUUUUCUUUCUUUUUUAAAAAGAUUUAUUUAUUUAUUUAUUUAUUUAUGUGAAAGUAGACUUAGAGAAAGAAAGGGAAAGACAGAGAGAAAGAGAUCUUCCAUCCAUUGGUUCACUCCCCAGGUGGCUGCAAUGGCCAGGGCUGGGCCAGCCUGAAGCCAGAAGCCAGGAGUUUCUUCUAGUCUCCCAUGUGGGUGACAGGGGCGUAACCACUUAGGCCAUUCUCCACUGCCAUUCCCAUGCCAUUAGUAGGUAGCUGAUUUGAAGUAGAGCAGCCAGGACUUGAAGCCCAUAAGGGAUGCUAGCUUAGUAGGUGGUAGCUUUACCCAUCAUACCACAACGCCAGCCCCAAAGAGCAAAGACAUGGAAUCAACCCAGUCCAUCAACUGAAGACUGGAUAAAGAAAUUAUAGGAUAUGUACACCAUGGAAUACUACACAGUGGUUAAAAAAUGAAAUCUGGUCAUUUGUAAAAAAAAAAUGCAUGAAUCUGGGAAACAUAAUACUUAGUGAAAUAAGCCUGUUCCAAAGGAACAAAUACCAUAUGAUCUGCCUGACCUGUGAUAACUAAUAGAACACCUAAAAGGCAAUAUGUAGAAGUGAAAUUAACAUUUUGAGAAGCAAUGACUUUGAACAGCCCUUGUCUUGACUGAGGAACACUUUUUUUCAUACUAUUUGUUGAACUCUUUACUUAACAUAAAGUUAAUCAUAUGUGUAUAAAGUUAAUUGAAAAAUGGAUCUUAGUGAAAAAUAAGAGUAUAAAUAAGAAAGGGAGGAGGAUCACCAUGAUCCUAAAGUUGUAAUUGUGAAGUGUAUGAAGUUUGUAACUGUAAAGCUGAAUAGUUCUACAUACAUUCCUACAGACUUACUUCUAAGGAUACAGUUUAAAAAUUUGCAUGGGACCCCAAAUCUUCUUAAGCUGGAUGGUAAAACCACAUUUUAAGUGUUAAAGUGAUCAUAUGGGUAGGAUUAAGUGAUAAUAAUAAAUAGAAUUAAAAAGGAGUGAAUGCUCUAACAUGGGAAGCAGUCCAUAGAGCAGAUUCAUAGAAUGACAAUUGAUUUAAGUAGCACUCUGACCUCAGAAUCAGCCCUUAAAGCAUUCUGGUCUGGCUGAAAAGUCCACAAGAGUAUUUCAAGCAUGGAAAGCCAAGACACUGUGGCAAAAAAAUGUCCUACAUGAAGGACCUCUGUGGGUGAGACCCCAGUGGAAAGACGUGGUCAUAAAAGAUGAAUGUACUUUUCUCUGAAGGGAGGAGAGGACUUCCUUUUUGCUUAUGGCCUUGUCUAAAUUCUGAUAGAGUUUGUGGAUUAAAAAGACUUCCACAGCAUAGGCAGCUCAUGUCAAGAGCCUUGGGUGAUCACUGACAUCAUACAUAAGAGUGUUAAUUAUUAAAUUAACAACAGGAAUCACUGUGCACUAACUCCCUAUGCAGGAACUCUGUCCUCAAAGAGUUGUAUUGUGAGAGUGAAGAGUAAAACUUGUUCUCAAAGAUUUAUUUAGUUUUAGUGUAUCAAGUGUAUCUGAUGUCUCGUAAGUUUUAGUAUGCCUAAGUGUCCAACUCCAUUGCUUGUUUUUUUAGGUGUUUCCUUAAUUAAUGAUAAUACUUGGUUUUUUGAAGAUUAUUUUUUAUUUGAAAGUCAGAGUUGUACAGAGAGAGGAGAGGUGGAGAGAGAGAGAGAGAGAGAGAGAGAGAGAGAGAGGUCUUCCAUCUGAUGGUUCACUCUCCAACUGGCUGCAACAGCCAGAGCUCCGCUGAUCCAAAUCCAGGAGCUAGGAGCUUCUUCUGGGUCUUCCAAGUGGGUGCAGGGGCCCAAAGACUUGGGCCAUCUUCUUACUGCUUUUCCAGUCCAUAGCAGAGACCUGGAUCAGAAAAGGAGCAGCUGGGACUAGAACUGACACCCAUAUGGGAUGCUGGCACUUCAGGCCAGGGUAUUAACCUGCUGCACCACAGCACCAGCCCCAAUGAUAAUACUUGUUUUCAAGGACUUAUUUUCUUUUAAUGUAUUAAAUGGAGGUUUAGGUCUCAUAAGUUGUAGUUAUGCCUAAUUGCCUGCAAAAGAUGUAUCAUUCUUGGGUGCUUCUUUAAAGUUAAUUAAGUUUCUCAAAAAAAAAAAAAAGUGAAAUUCACUUCGAGAUGCGAUGACUUUGAACAGCCCUUGUCUCAGCUGUGGAGGAACAGUUUUUGUGUGUUGAACUUUUUACUUAGUAUAAAGCUGGUAUUCUGUGUAUAAAGUUAAUUGAAAAUGGAUCUUAGUGGAGAAUGGGACUGGGAAUGGGAUUGCAAGGAGGAGGAGGGGUUGGAGUGUGAGUGGGAGGCUGGGUAUGAUGGGAAGAAUCACUAUAUUCCUAAAGUUGUAUUUAUGAAAUGCAUUAAGCUUGUAUUCCUUAAAUAAAAGGUUUCCUUGGGGAAAAACAAAACAAAACAAAAAACAAAAAAACUGAUAUCUGUCCUUUCAUCCUCCAGUAAACUGCCUUUGAUCCCCACUCCUCACCCAACCCCUAUGCCUCCCUCCACUGGGCUUCCAUAGAAGUCUAUUGAUGAUAUUGCCAAUCACACUUUCCUCAAUGCAUUUUCAUUGUUUAUCUCUUCCUCAUGAGAUGAUGCGGGACAAGGAAUCUGCCAUUCCAUAUUUACCCCUAUUCCUGCAUUGGCAUAUGAUGAUCACCAGGCCUUUCUUUGAACAGAUUUAGUGGAGGUAAUAAUUGAAACUGUGAGAGAAAGUGAAAUCCAAGAGAAAGAGAAGUGUGUUGUAAUUUUCAUACCGUUAUUUAAGAAGCCAGACUAAAUUCACAGGAAAAUGUUAAAAUGUUGAGUAUUUCACAUUUUCUUUCCUGACAAGUAGUCUCUGAUUAUAUUCCACUUUCUUUGUUCACUCUUUGAAUUUACAAGUAGCAAAUACUCAUUUGAAAUGAAGUGACUGCUCAAUCGUUACUUAAAUUCACAUAAAUAUUAAAUUGAACCAUGUGAAAUCACUGUUUUAUGGGUCCAAAGCAGUCAAAUUGUGACAGUUGCUGUGAUUCAAGCUAAAGAAUGAGGAUUGAGAGCUAAGUAUCUCCCUACAUCUGUCUACGGUGCAUUUACCCAGCUCACAAAGUCUACGUUUCUUAGCAUGAGUAACUGUCAUAUUUGUAAGGCAGCCUCAUACAUUUUGUCAAAUAACUGUAAAUGGUCUCUGUACAGGGUUCUACAUUAGACAGCAGUGAGACCUAGUCUAGGCAGCUAUUUAGGCAAAGGCUGCAAAUUCAUCUGUUGUGUAGAAAAGUGAGCCCUGUCACUAACUCCAUGUUCACUCCUAACUUGUAUGACCCUUUGACAGUUAAAAUAAUGUAGCAUCAUUAAAAUGUUAAUUUGUACCUAUAUGCCCAUCCCACAAUUGAAUUUUCAAGUAGUUGAUUACAUUUCUCUCUGUGGAUUCAGGAAACCAUUCGUCUCACAUUAUCUAAUUUAUUAAACAUAGUUUGGCCCUUACAAUGUCUCCAUUCGUCAUCCUUAAACUCACUUAGCACAAAUAAAUAAGACUAUGUUUGCUGUUAAUGAACAUCACUUCCCAAGAGAAGGGGCAGCUCUGGACUACAGGCACAGUGGGAACCCAAAGCUGUCCUCUCCGUGGGCACCGUAGAUCUUAGCCAGAGAAUCUCACCUGCUGUUAAUUGGAAUGUGGUGUUCAGAUGGAUUUUCAGUGCUAAUAUCAAUGUCGGUGUUAAUGUUUUUCUUACUGCUGAUUCUCUGGUUCUCUUUAACUUUUAAACUUAAAAGCAUCUUUGCAACUGAGUGAAUUGAAAAUACCUUUUAAAAAUAAGAAACACAUUUAGAUUUCUGGUACACAGAAAAUUCCCUGUGAAGAAAAGUUCCAAAUUUGUGACGCUAUUUGCAUUUCCAUCAACACAGAGAAUCCUUAUCUGGGCUUGUUACAUGACAAAUAACAGUGUUGAAACAGGGUGUUUUAAGACUCAUUUAUGCACAUGUCUCAGUUCUUGUUAGUACGUUUACAGUGUGAGGCAAUACAAAACUUAUACAUUAGUUUCAAGAGUUUUUUUUUUUUUUUUACAAAGCUGAUACCUUAAUGAAUUUUAACUACCAUUGACCUCAUUUAAAGUAAUUAAAAUAUCAAAAAAUUUUAAAAGUUGCUAAGGUGCUACUGUGCCCCAGGAAAAAGAUUUUUCAGAUGGGGAUGAGCAUGCAAAAUAUUUAUUAAGGAGUGCCCUAGGGAUCAGCACCUGGGAAGGGAGCUAGCUGUGUGCCAGGCGUGGGGGAAAACAAGGGGAGCUGGGAGGCAGAUGAGCAAGGGCCUCAGCCAACUCCUUGUUGAGCUCUGUGGCUGAUGGUGUAGCGAGGGAGGGCAGCCUUCAGGCCUCACACAGAUCAGAGACAGGAUUGUUGGCUCCUGCGUUCUCACACUGACACUCACCUGAGAGCGCCAUGUACCAGGAAUGUCAAGGAAGGAGCGAGCAAAGAGCUUCAGAGUUGAAAAAGCCCUGUGGUCUAAGAUCUCAGCUGAGUUAAGGGCGACUGGCCAUGGCCAGUAUCCUUCCUGCAUGAAAACCAGCCCGUGAAACUCAUCAUUAGACCACCACACCUGGGGCUGGGGCUGGCUGCAGUUGGGUUCCUAUCGCUUCAGCUAGGUGAAUAGCAAUUAAAUGAGCCAAGAUUCAAUAAAAUUCAAAUGUCUCAGCUGCACCUACCACAUCCCAAACACUGAGUGGCCACAUGUGGCUGGUGGCUGUUCUGUUGGAUGGCACAAGACCCCGCCAUCAGAAAUGUGGGAAUAUUUGGAAAUCACGGAAUGAGUAGAAUUACAGAGAAUUCUGUGGGGCCACACUAUUCCACACUUACUUUGAGCCUCCCUGAGACUCUGUUAGGAGGGGCCGUUCUCCUGGCCCUAACACCGGCCACUCCUCACUCCUUGCCCCACACCCAGGGGAACUCCUUUGUAGUCUCUCCUCAGAUUUGUUUUUCUUUUCACUGUUGGCAUUACUACAGUGUAGUAAAUUGUAACUGGAAUCCAUUGCUGUUAAAAAGGGUUUCCAUUUCCUUAAGGGUAGGUCACAACAUGAACUAUUUGUAUGACAAACUUCAAAAAGUUCACGGAAAAUGGAACUCACAGUAUGAGUUUUUUGGUACAAAAAAUUGGGGGUGAAAAAAAUUUUUUUUAGAAUACGUGGAAAAUGCAUAUCAUGGAAAAAUUGUGCCAUGGACUCCAAAAAGAUUUGUACCAAAAUAAACUCAUAUUUUUAAUUGAAUUUUAAUUGAGUUUUUCCAUUUUUCCUAUUAGCUCCGUUAAAGGAAAGGAAGCAAACCAGUAGUUUCACAUUAAAAGUAGUAUAGACAUUCAUACCUACCACAUUAAUAUCCGAACCUGUAACAUCACUGGCCAGAAGAGAAAAAAAAAGAGAAAACCGUAAAAUGAUGAUAUUCCCUGUAUUCUAAAACACAGCAAAUGAAACAUGUUAGAAUUUGCCUACUCACAAACAAGCUAUGUUUGAUGAUAAAGCCGGCUCUGUUAGGUAAACCUCUUCCUUCAUUAUUCAGUUAGCUCCGCCCUGGUGACUUUAGUUGCUGGUUCUUCCAUAGCAUUCUUCUGGCUUUUGUCAUGCAAACUUAUGCCUUUUUGAAAAUGUUUCUGAACAAACUUUCAGCCUUGAAAUUUCAAGUCUUUAUAGCAUUCAUUGAAUUUUUCUUGGGAGAUUCAGCAAAAGUUUGGCCACCAUGCGAGCCAGCUGCAGUACUUAUUAUUGUGUAUUAUGUCUUCUUUUUUCCAGUCUGGUGUUCAAUGCCCAUACAGAAAAGGUGGUGCCUGUGCAGAUCUUUCUUCCUGCAUGGCUCAUAGACCCUCUGCUGAGAAAGAUCAACUGAUGUUCCUGGCCUUCCAAGCGUAGAUAGAUACAUUUGCACUUUUAGAAACCAUGGAAGUGGAAGAAGUAUUCACAGGCAGCCGACCGACAUCCAGGUCUGCGAAAACUACCCUGGACAGCAGCAGGGAGCAAACAAAGGAAAG